rnacentral:rRNA from 1 species
UACGAAGGGGGCUAGCGUUGCUCGGAAUCACUGGGCGUAAAGCGCACGUAGGCGGACUCUUAAGUCGGUGGUGAAAUCCUGGAGCUCAACUCCAGAACUGCCUUCGAUACUGAGAGUCUUGAGUCCGGGAGAGGUGAGUGGAACUGCGAGUGUAGAGGUGAAAUUCGUUGAUAUCGGAAGGAACGCCGGUGGCGAAAGCGACGGACUGGAUCUCUUCUGACGCUGAGGCGCGAAAGCCAGGGGAGCAAACGGG